rnacentral:pre_miRNA from 1 species
UCUCAUAGAUGAACAAAGAAAGUGGAUUCUUGAGAUGGAAUCUACUCUCUUGGUGAAGGUGCUGUGAA